UGGGGAAUAUUGGACAAUGGGCGAAAGCCUGAUCCAGCCAUGCCGCGUGUGUGAAGAAGGUCUUCGGAUUGUAAAGCACUUUAAGUUGGGAGGAAGGGCAUUAACCUAAUACGUUAGUGUUUUGACGUUACCGACAGAAUAAGCACCGGCUAACUCUGUGCCAGCAGCCGCGGUAAUACAGAGGGUGCAAGCGUUAAUCGGAAUUACUGGGCGUAAAGCGCGCGUAGGUGGUUUGUUAAGUUGGAUGUGAAAUCCCCGGGCUCAACCUGGGAACUGCAUUCAAAACUGACUGACUAGAGUAUGGUAGAGGGUGGUGGAAUUUCCUGUGUAGCGGUGAAAUGCGUAGAUAUAGGAAGGAACACCAGUGGCGAAGGCGACCACCUGGACUAAUACUGACACUGAGGUGCGAAAGCGUGGGUAGCAAACA
rnacentral:rRNA from 1 species